rnacentral:rRNA from 1 species
AUUGAACGCUGGCGGCAUGCCUUACACAUGCAAGUCGAACGGUAACAGGUCUUCGGAUGCUGACGAGUGGCGAACGGGUGAGUAAUACAUCGGAACGUGCCUAGUAGUGGGGGAUAACUACUCGAAAGAGUGGCUAAUACCGCAUGAGAUCUACGGAUGAAAGCAGGGGAUCGCAAGACCUUGUGCUACUAGAGCGGCCGAUGGCAGAUUAGGUAGUUGGUGGGAUAAAAGCUUACCAAGCCGACGAUCUGUAGCUGGUCCGAGAGGACGAUCAGCCACACUGGGACUGAGACACGGCCCAGACUCCUACGGGAGGCAGCAGUGGGGAAUUUUGGACAAUGGGCGCAAGCCUGAUCCAGCAAUGCCGCGUGCAGGAUGAAGGCCUUCGGGUUGUAAACUGCCUUUGUACGGAACGAAAAGCCCUGGGUUAAUACCCUGGGGUCAUGACGGUACCGUAAGAAUAAGCACCGGCUAACUACGUGCCAGCCGCCGCAGUAAUAC